rnacentral:tRNA from 1 species
UUUGUGGUGGCUAUGUAGUAAAGCUCUUGGUUUCCAAACCGAGGGAUUUCGGGUUCGAAUCCCGAUGACGAAU